GACGAACGCUGGCGGCGUGCUUAACACAUGCAAGUCGAACGAUGAAGCCGGAGCUUGCUCUGGUGAAUUAGUGGCGAACGGGUGAGUAACACGUGAGUAACCUGCCCUUGACUCUGGGAUAACUGCGGGAAACUGUAGCUAAUACCGGAUACGACCCUCGGAGGCAUCUCCUGGGGGUGGAAAGAAUUUCGGUCAAGGAUGGACUCGCGGCCUAUCAGCUAGUUGGUGAGGUAAAGGCUCACCAAGGCGACGACGGGUAGCCGGCCUGAGAGGGUGGCCGGCCCCACUGGGCCUGAGACACGGCCCGGACUCCUACGGGAGGCAGCAGUGGGGAAUAUUGCACAAUGGGCGCAAGCCUGAUGCAGCAACGCCGCGUGAGGGAUGACGGCCUUCGGGUUGUAAACCUCUUUUAGCAGGGAAGAAGCGAAAGUGACGGUACCUGCAGAAAAAGCACCGGCUAACUACGUGCCAGCCGCCGCGGUAA
rnacentral:rRNA from 1 species